AAGACAUCUGGUGAGCGUGAGACACCCAGCAGCCAUGCUCAUGUGUCAGGAGGACUGAGCAGGUCCCAGAGCCCCAUCACGGUGCCUCCACCUCACUCACUGAUACAUGAGAGACACAGUGACCAGAAGAUCCAGGAACUUAACAACAAGAUCAUUCCACUGCUGACUGGAGAGCAGGGGGAGUAUAUAGAGGAACACAGGGGUCUGUACAAGGACGUGAUGAUGGAGAAUCACCGGCCCCUCACAUCACUGGAUGGGUCCAGUAACAGAGAUACCCCAGAGAGAUGUCCCCGUCCUCUGUAUUCCCAGGAUUGUACAGAGGAGAAUCACAGGAUCCCACAGGAGG